AACACAUGCAAGUCGAACGGCAGCACAGAAGAGCUUGCUCUUUGGGUGGCGAGUGGCGGACGGGUGAGUAAUGUCUGGGAAACUGCCCGAUGGAGGGGGAUAACUACUGGAAACGGUAGCUAAUACCGCAUAACGUCGCAAGACCAAAGUGGGGGACCUUCGGGCCUCACACCAUCGGAUGUGCCCAGAUGGGAUUAGCUAGUAGGUGGGGUAAUGGCUCACCUAGGCGACGAUCCCUAGCUGGUCUGAGAGGAUGACCAGCCACACUGGAACUGAAACACGGUCCAGACUCCUACGGGAGGCAGCAGUGG
rnacentral:rRNA from 1 species